rnacentral:rRNA from 1 species
CCUACGGGGGGCAGCAGUGAGGAAUAUUGGUCAAUGGACGAGAGUCUGAACCAGUCAAGUAGCGUGAAGGAUGACUGCCCUAUGGGUUGUAAACUUCUUUUAUAUGGGAAUAAAAUGUUCCACGUGUGGGCUUUUGUAUGUACCAUAUGAAUAAGGAUCGGCUAACUCCGUGCCAGCAGCCGCGGUAAUACGGAGGAUCCGAGCGUUAUCCGGAUUUAUUGGGUUUAAAGGGAGCGUAGGUGGAUUGUUAAGUCAGUUGUGAAAGUUUGCGGCUCAACCGUAAAAUUGCAGUUGAAACUGGCAGUCUUGAGUACAGUAGAGGUGGGCGGAAUUCGUGGUGUAGCGGUGAAAUGCUUAGAUAUCACGAAGAACUCCGAUUGCGAAGGCAGCUCACUGGACUGCAACUGACACUGAGGCUCGAAAGUGUGGGUAUCAAACAGGAUUAGAUACCCGUGUAGUC